UACGGGGGGUGCGAGCGUUGUCCGGAAUCACUGGGCGUAAAGCGUGCGCAGGCGGUUCGUUGUGUCGGCGGUGAAAGCCCCGGGCUUAACCUGGGAAUGGCCGUUGAAACUGGCGAACUGGAGUGUGGCAGAGGGGGGUGGAAUUCCGCGUGAAGCAGUGAAAUGCGUAGAGAUGCGGAGGAACACCGAUGGCGAAGGCAGCCCCCUGGGCUAACACUGACGCUCAGGCACGAAAGCGUGGGGAGCAAACAGG
rnacentral:rRNA from 1 species